rnacentral:rRNA from 1 species
AUUGAACGCUGGCGGCAGGCCUAACACAUGCAAGUCGAGCGGAUGAAGGGAGCUUGCUCCUGGAUUCAGCGGCGGACGGGUGAGUAAUGCCUAGGAAUCUGCCUGGUAGUGGGGGAUAACGUCCGGAAACGGGCGCUAAUACCGCAUACGUCCUGAGGGAGAAAGUGGGGGAUCUUCGGACCUCACGCUAUCAGAUGAGCCUAGGUCGGAUUAGCUAGUUGGUGGGGUAAAGGCCUACCAAGGCGACGAUCCGUAACUGGUCUGAGAGGAUGACCAGUCACACUGGAACUGAGACACGGUCCAGACUCCUACGGGAGGCAGCAGUGGGGAAUAUUGGACAAUGGGCGAAAGCCUGAUCCAGCCACGCCGCGUGUGUGAAGAAGGUCUUCGGAUUGUAAAGCACUUUAAGUUGGGAGGAAGGGCAGUAAGUUAAUACCUUGCUGUUUUGACGUUACCAACAGAAUAAGCACCGGCUAACUUCGUG